UCUUGUCUGCUCCCAACCUAGGCCCCGGACAGGUGUGCAGGAUGCCUUUGGGAAGCCCCUGGGCACAGUGGCCAGGGUUUACUUUGGCCAGGUCACCCUGUCCCUCUACGCCAAGCUUUCAGAUAAGGGCCAUGUGACUGAGGCUCUACAGGGAGCCAAGUUCAAGUUCCUGGCCACCAGAAGAUCCAUAUCUCAAGGAAGUGGAGCUUCCCCAAAUGUAAUGCUGAUGAAUUUGAAGACGUGGUAGCUGAGAAGUGCCUUAUCCCUGUUGGCUGUAGGGUCAAAUGUAUCCUCACUUGUGGUCCCCUGGACAAGUGGCAGGCCCUGUACUCCUGA
rnacentral:lncRNA from 1 species